GGGAGCAAAUCCGGACUGGACUAAGUUACUGGAAUUAAGACUUAUUCUAUGCAUCUGCUCUCCCACAAUAUGGCGCUGGGAGAGAAGUAAACAGCUUCCGCACAGCUGCCUCCAGUUCAACCAAUUAACUGUAGGACUUGCUCCUGAUUGGAGAGCAGCGUACUCGGCGUGUGGGCAGCCGAGUUGGGAUUGGCGGAGGAGGACUAUAAAGGAGGAGAGAGACGGCAUGCACCAGGAACAUCUAUGGGGAACAUCUAAGGGAACCCGUGCAGCCCCCGAGAGAACCGGCCGGCGGUGUGCCGCUCCCCUGCGGAAGAGGGGAAUGUGGCCAGGGGGAACUGCCCUUCCACGGAGGUGGAAGGGAUAGUAGCCAACCCGGGAAGAACCAGCAGCAAACCCGGGGAGGGCCGAGCAGACGAAAGAACAGCGCAGGGUCCUGUGUCGUUCCUCCACGAAGAGGGGGAGCGACAAGCAAGUAACUAUUCCUUUACGUUUCCCUCUCGGCUUUUCCCCAAACCACUCAACACAAGGAAAAGAACACCUUUCCUUCUCGGAUCACUCAACUUGGAAACCCAGAAAGUAGCCCCAGAAGAAAGUGAAACAUCAAGGCCGGCCAUCACCGGCUGAAGUUCCUGCGUGCUGGCAUCACCUGUGAGCGAGUCCGGGUGGCUGUGGGAAUAGAAGUUGUUUCCUUGAGAAGUCAACGAGGGCAGGGACAUGGCCCGGCGUCAGGCCGCACGCACAAGGGGCUCCUGUACGCUGGACACUCUGUCUUACUCUGCUGGUGACUCAGCACAGAGCAAGCUCCUGUGCCAGUCGAAACCUCAGUGUGUUCUUCUCUGCUUAGGGAAACAGUCAUCCUCCAUCACCACUCAGCCUCCUAGCAGUGGAUGAGUAAAGCACUUCUAACGCAACAGAGAGUAAGUGAGAAGUCCGAGUCCUAUGCACACACGUGCUGUAGGAAAUGCAUGCUGGUCCCUCACGUCAGGAGCCGCAAGGAUGACCCUAGCCUGAAGGAGAAAGACUCCCACUACUGGUGGAUUUUUCUUCUACUCUCUCCUCUCCCUGAACAGACAAUCAUCAGAAGUCCCUGUUUCUUGUCCAUCUGUCUCUGAGUGGCUGUGUAUGGAAGUGAGUUGAGGUUGCUAAAGGCUUCCAGAUCCUAGGGGGCAGGGUGCUGUUGGAAUUGAUCCCCCAUGCUACAGACAGAGCAGGCAUGGGACGUGGCUCUGGAGCUGGAGGAGAGGUCUGUUCUGAAACGAAGCACGCUGAGGCAGCCCUGACCACUGCAGCUCCGACACCCAAGGUUUUUCUACAGACCAACAUCAAGCCAUUUAUCUGACCUCCUUGAUCUACACAGCCUAUCCAGAACCCACAGCUAUUUUCUCGAGGCCUGAAUGAGUCAGAACAAGAAAAUGAUUAAUCAACUUGGAGAGAUUUGAAAGCUGGACGAGAGCCAUCCUGUCCCAUGCCAUUUCCCCUGGAGUUCCUGCUAAUAAGCAGUGCAUCGAGUGUGACCACACUAGGACAUGGCUGGCACAGUGAUUUCCAACAAGUAACCUGCCAUCGCACACAAAGAGAGCACUGAAAAGUGGACACCAGUGGAGGCGAAGUCAGGGGUGAAGAAGCUCAAAGGAGGCCUAAACAAACAUCUCCACAAACAGAAGCUCGCUCCCCGGAACUUCCGCCUUCAUCUGACUUGGUCAGAACAGAUUGGAAAUAGAGGGUUGGUAUGUCAGCUUUGUCUAUCUGGGUUUCUAGGUCUCCUGGUUCAAAAUGCAGAUUGUUGUCGUGUAUCUGUCAACCGAAACUCGAGGUGCUCAUUUAGAGAAUAAUUCUCACAGCUUUUAAGAGAAUUUUGAGUUUGGCCAAGUGUUUUACUGUCAGUCUCUUUUCUUGAUAACAGUUUCUUUUCUUGAUAACAGUUCUAAGAAGCUAAUAUAACACUGUUCCCAUCAAUGUACAAGAAAGCAAGAGAUGUAAGCAACUUUGUGCCAAUCACCUGGAGGCAGCUUGAAGAUACAGCCUCGUCCUCAUAAGUCUCCCCUCGUCCUGGGGAAAGCACAACCGAUUAGAACACAGGAGAUGAGGGAAGAAUGCUAGGGCUAACAACAUCCUCCAAGACGUAAGGUGGGUAAAAGCACACGCAUUACAGGAACCACAUGAAACCUGUGUGGCAGUGGACAGUCCACAUGGGAUUAUCCACUGAAGAGUGAAAGUUCCCAUGAAAUGAAUUCCACAAAAAUAGUACCACUAAAAAGUCAACAUGAAUGUGAAGUACAGAAGCAUUCUGAGUGCCUCAAUGAAAAGGAGCCACACCAGUUUUAGUGGGACAAAUCAGCAGACCUGAAAACAUCGCCUAUCACUAAAUUCUUUGAUUAAAGAAGUCCAUGCAUCUAAAUAAUCUAUUUCAAAACUUAUUAAUAAAAAGAAGCUGGAAAUGCCCCUUGUUCAACAAGAGUAGCUCGCAAGAUGAUUUCUCACAAAGUAAAGUAGGACAUUAAACUAAAAAAUUAAAAAAGAAAGGGGGGAGGGUUGGCAACAGACAUGUCAAAUCUCAUCCAUCAGGUUGGAGUGAAGAGCUUGGGUAUGUUUACCUAAACAUUAGCAGAAACCUAUAGCUGUAAGUAGACAACUUGAAUUCUGGAUAGAAAAGUCUGUUUUCAGAGAGAACAUAAAUAACUUUUGAAUGCCUGACAAUUAAGGUUUAAUCAAGAUUGUGGCCAAUUAAAAGGAAUCAUCAGAGACUUAGUGUGUUUUUACAGUCAUUAGUAAAAACAUAAGUUUUCCAAUUUGGUCAUUCAAGUUUGGAGCAGAACAAUCUGCUUUCAGGGAGGCCAAUAUACUCUAUUCACUAACUUGUGCAACUGAACACGAAGUCCUCUUCUCUUCACAACAAAAGACGAAGCAGCAUCCAAAAGGAAGACCUCAUGAAAGGCUCCUUUCAAACAGUGGAUCUUGCUGUGUCCUCUCGAUUCAGGGCUCAUAAAUAAAGGGACACCACAGCUGCAACUUAUGAUUAACCACGGUAUAGUAUUUCAAACAGUGAAUAACGUUGUAGUUAUUGCAACCAACGGAACUCCUUAUAUUGGCUCCACAGACGACCUUGGCUUUGUCUAGCCUGUAGGUGACCUGAAUUGAAGAGAGAUGUCUGGGUUGAAGUUUAACUCAGUGUCUGAAAAGCUAUGUCACAUGGCUGGGGAGUCGGGCAUGUUGUAACUUCAGCAACUCCCACACCUCUCCCUGUGAUUGGAUGGUGUAAAGGUAACUCUAAACAGAGCAGUGAAAAGUAAAACUAUUUGGUCAGUCUUGGAAGCUCUUGAAUAAGGCCCAAACAUUUGGGAACAGUCUAAGUAAACCUCUCAGGUUAUUCUUACACAACCAAGGUAACUUUAUGGCCUGCCCUGGGCAGGUGCAGUGGCAAAUGUUUCUCAAGUCAUUAACGACACAUACUCUUUCUCUGCCCUCUACGGAGGACAGCAUUUUCUUAAGGAGAACAGAAAGGCUUCACCUCUUGAUUUACAGACUAAUCUGAGUUUUUCUGACUAUGAGACCCUAUUCCUGUGAGCUAUCUGGGCUCUCAAAAGAGAGACCAUAGAAAACAGAAAGAAAAAGUCUUCCAUUAUCUCUCUCCUUAGAAAGUAUGCUCUGAAAAGCUGUCAAGAGCCCCCCAGAUUUUAGCUGGGUUCAGGAUCUAAUGCUGAGAGUCAUCUCCCCAUGGCCAAAACAGAUGAAAACUCAAGGAAGAGCCUGGCCUUUCUCAUGUCAACUGCUCAGUAAUUGUAUCACUCAGUACCCAGUUUCCUAUCAGAGGCCCUGAUCAUCUAAUGGUUUCCAACACUGCAACACUGAUUAUACAGAAAGCCAGGCUUCCCUAAAGCAGAUGCAUGGCCCUUUAACAUCACGAUCCAAGCUCACAUACUUAACUCUGACAGUCCAUGGCUAAUUUACAUGUUAACACUAUAUUAGAAGUAGGUUUCCAAGGAUAAGUACCCAAUUUAAGAUUUGAGCAAUCACAUUUCCAUUCCCAACUCUGCCAACAAACCACUCAAUUCUUUUAAAAAUGAACAAUAACAUCUAUCUAGCACUUUUUAAAAAUAUCUACUGUAUCCUUUCUGAAAUUUUUAAAGGUCUGCAGUAAUAUAGCAUUAACUAAUAAUAUUUAGAUAACUAAUAUUGAAAACUAAACAGAUACAUAUUUCCCAGGCCAGAGGCAUUCGCUUGCAUUUUUCAUUUCAUUAUUACUAAUUAAAUGUGUACCAUGAACCACAAGCAGAAUCUAAAAUUCAUGUGCCAUUAUUUAAAUCAAUAAGAUAAAAUGCUAAAGAGACUGUGGAUUAUGAUCCUGACCAGUACUGAGCCUAGAGUAGAUCCCAAAUGGACACAUGCUAAAUUGAGCCAAUAAACCACAAAGAUUAAACCUAAUUUUUUCAAGAUAGAGAGUCAAGGCUGGCGCCGCGGCUCAAUAGGCUAAUCCUAUUUUUUCUUUCUUUCUUUCUUUCUUUCUUUCUUUCUUUCUUUCUUUCUUUCUUUCUUUCUCUCUCUCUCUCUCUCUCUCUCUCUCUCUUUCUCUCUUUCUUUCUCUCUUUCUUAAGAUUUAUCUAUUUAUUUGAAAGGGAGAGUUUACAGAGAGAAAGAGAGAGAGAGAUCGAUCUUCUGUCUACUGGUUCACCCCCUAGAUGGUUACAAGGGCCAGCCAGGCCAGGCAGAAGCUAGGAGCCAGGAGCUUCAUCUAGGUCUCCCAUGUGGGCGACAGUGGGACAAGCACUUGGGCCAUCUUCUGCUGCUUUCCCAGGUGCAUUAGCAGGGAGCUGGAUUGGAAGUGGAACAGCUGGAACUCAAAUUGGCACCCAAAUGGGAGGCUGGCAUCACAGGUAGAGGCUUUAUGCUUUAUGCCACGACACUGGAACCAGUGAAAUUAAAUAUCAUUUCAUUUCUUAAGUAGCCUAAUCUAGAUUUAGGAAUUUAAGAGAAGGGAAAGUUGCUUAUUUCUCUAAAGAAUAAAUAGUAAAGAAAAGGCAGUUUGAUGCUAACAUAUAUCUUUGCUGUUUUAUAUCUCAAGUCUCAAGAUGUAUAGUUUCUUUUUUUCUUUAAAGAUUCAUUUACUUACUUACUUCCAAGGCAAAGUGACAGAGAGAGGAAGAGCCAGAGACAGAUCUUCCAUUUAUCGGUUUACUCCCCACUUGCUGGCAGCAGACAGGAGCCAGGAGCUUCAUCCAGAUCUCCCACAUGAGUGGCAGGAACCCCAGUACUUGGACCGUCAUCUUCUGCCUCCCAGGUGCAUUAGCAGGGAGCCAGAUCAGAAGCAGAGUAGCUGAGACUUGAGUCAGCACUCCUUUAUAGGACGCACGCAUCUCAAGCAGCAGUUCAACACCUGUGCCACAAUGCCCACCCCUUUUUGAAAUGAGUAGAAAAUGGAUGAAACUUAUUUUUAUUGAUUGAUCAAUAAUUGCCACUGAGGAAAUAAACAACACUUUCGGUGGUAUCUCUUAAUUUUUAAGGUUAGUGACAAGAAAGUAGGAAAACAUUGCUUGGUUUCAGACUUACACAGCAGUACUCCACAAUGCUCCCUUUUCCAUAAAGAAAUCUACACUGGAUUGGCUGAGAAAAUUAUCCAGCGGCCACUCGUGUUCAUUCAAUCACUAUUCUCUGCCUCUGGAAAUGGAAGAUUGAAUAAAAUGAGGUUCCUGCCCUUUGGAGGCUUACAGUGCACAUGAAAAUCCCAAUAUAAUAUAUUCAUCAACUGCAUACUUAAGGUUUGUGCACUUCAUUGUAUGUGAAUUACACCAUAAAAAUAUUAAAAGAAAGAUUGAGACAGGUAAGGUAAGAUCCACCUAGCAGCAGAAGCAAUGCUAACAGAACUAGAAAACAGGGAGGGGUUCUGCCUGGGAGGUCUAGCAAGGCGUCACCAGAGAGUGACAGCAGGCAGAGAGGCUGGCGGGCCCAUCCUGACACGGGGAAAGUCGCAGCAAAGCACAGGGUGAGGGAGAGCAAGGAGCCAGGGCAAGCAUCCGGGGCAGUGCUGGGAGUUGAGGCUCCAGUGAAUCUGGGCUCUGGUCUGUAGAAAAGAAGGUGAAACGUUUUCGAAUAGAAUACUGGAGCAGGUUUGUUUCCAAGUGACUAACUCAUUCUACCUUCCCAGAAGACAGCAACAUCAUCCCUAAAUCCAAUUCACU